rnacentral:rRNA from 1 species
UACGUAGGGGGCAAGCGUUGUCCGGAAUCAUUGGGCGUAAAGAGCGCGUAGGCGGCCCUGUAAGUCCGCUGUGAAAGUCAAGGGCUCAACCCUUGAAUGCCGGUGGAUACUGCAGGGCUAGAGUCCGGAAGAGGCGAGUGGAAUUCCUGGUGUAGCGGUGAAAUGCGCAGAUAUCAGGAGGAACACCGAUGGCGAAGGCAGCUCGCUGGGGUUGCGCCGACGCUGAGACACGAAAGCCAGGGGAGCAAACGGG